UACGUAGGUGACCAGCGUUGUCCGGAUUUACUGGGCGUAAAGAGCGCGCAGGUGGUCGUUCAAGUCGAGUGUGAAAGCCCCCGGCUCAACUGGGGAGGGUCACUCGAUACUGAUCGACUUGAAGGCAGGAGAGGGAAGCGGAAUUCACGGUGUAGCAGUGAAAUGCGUAGAUAUCGUGAGGAAGACCAGUGGCGAAGGCGGGUCUCUGGACAGUUCCUGACGCUGAGGCGCGAAGGCCAGGGGAGCAAACGGG
rnacentral:rRNA from 1 species